rnacentral:rRNA from 1 species
GACGAAGGGGGCUAGCGUUGUUCGGAAUUACUGGGCGUAAAGCGAGUGUAGGUGGUUGUCGUAGUCAGGCGUGAAAGCCCCGGGCUCAACCUGGGAACCGCGCUUGAGACUGGCACGCUCGAGUUCGGGAGAGGAUGGUGGAAUUCCCAGUGUAGAGGUGAAAUUCGUAGAUAUUGGGAAGAACACCGAUGGCGAAGGCAGCCAUCUGGACCGACACUGACGCUGAGGCGCGAAAGCGUGGGGAGCAAACAGG